GACCCCGCACAAGCAGCGGAGCAUGUUGAUUAAUUCGACGCAACGCGAAGAACCUUACCAGGGCUUGACAUCCUAUGAAUCUGCAAGAGAUUGCGGAGUGCCUUUCGGGGAACAUAGAGACAGGUGGUGCAUGGUUGUCGUCAGCUCGUGUCGUGAGAUGUUGGGUUAAGUCCCGCAACGAGCGCAACCCUUACGGUCAGUUACCAGCGAGUAAAGUCGGGGACUCUGACAGGACAGCCGGGGUAACCCGGAGGAAGGUGGGGACGACGUCAAAUCAUCAUGCUCCUUACGUCCUGGGCUUCAAACGUGCUACAAUGGGCGCAACAAAGGGCAGCGAGGCGGUAACGCGGAGCGAAACCCAUAAAAGCGUUCUCAGUUCGGAUUGAGGGCUGCAACCCGCCCUCAUGAAGUUGGAGUUGCUAGUAAUCGCAAAUCAGAAUGUUG
rnacentral:rRNA from 1 species